GAUGAAGAACGCAGCGAAAUGCGAAAAGUAAUGUGAAUUGCAGAAUUCAGUGAACCAUCGAAUCUUUGAACGCACAUUGCGCCCGCUGGAACUCCGGCGGGCACGCCUGUCCGAGCGUCAUUUCAACCCUCAGGCCCCCCUUCGCGGGCGGGCCUGGUGUUGGGGCCCGGCCGCUACCCUGUGGCCGUCCCCUAAAUCCAGUGGCGGCCUCGCCGUGAUCCCUUGCGUAGUAAUGCACCUCGCACCGGAGAGCGCCGUGGCCACGCCGUAAAACCCCCAAUUUUCAAUGGUUGACCUCGGAUCAGGUGGGAAUACCCGCUGAACUUAAGCAUAUCAAUAAGCGGAGGA
rnacentral:misc_RNA from 1 species